UUGAAUUCCAAGAAUACCGUAGUCACUGCGUGUUGGUUUCAGUUGGCGCGAUCAAAAAUUAUCGUCGUUGUCGCUCAAGGUGGCUGCUGGGCUGCCGCUGAACCGGUUCGCAGACCGUCGCCGUUUCGGUUCGGCCGUUUCUUCUUCGGUUCGAGUUGUUGAGACUAUGGAGCAAGCAAG